GGAGAACUAUACUCUUUAGUCUCUAUGUGUCUCAGAUGAUGAUGCCGUGAUGUAAACGUUUUGAACCAUAGGACUUUUUAAUCAUUGGCGUUGGUGAUAUAAACAUGUGGCUAUUCAUGACGGCUAUUGUUUGUGGUUGAAGCUUUUUUGUAAUGAGAUUAUGUUGCUCAUAUUUGCGUAAAUUAUUGCCGACAUCUUAAAGACCUUUCAUAGUGGUUUUCAGCUACGUAAACGGGAUGAUGUCAGAUAUUUCAAAUGUAGAAACUUUUGUAAACAAACAUUUAGUUCUACUGGAUCUAGAAAGAACGACCGAGGUCGAAGAAAAUAAAUGUCUUCAGGAAUGUAAUUCUGUCAAAGUUCUGCAGAAGAAGGGGAUAUGCAUUACGAAAUUAAGGUUUGGCAGAUCAUCAACGGGCCUCUUUGGUAGAUCAUUAAUAAAUUUCGAACCUGCUUCAUCUAAUUGUUUCUUACCAUCACAUUUAAUCACUUCUGGUGAUAUUGUUGGUGUAGGAAAAGUAAAUUCAGAUGGAAGACUUGAAAUUAUAGUCUCGGGAGUUGUUACUCGUGUAAAUGAUUCUUUUUUAACUGUAGCUUUUGAAAAAAAUUCUGAUUCAUCGGAUUUGGAGAGUGAUGUCCAUUAUACAAUCAUAAAAUUAGCUAAUGAUGUCACAUAUAAGCGUUUAAAGAGAGCACUGAAGACGUUAGAAAAUAAAGGAAGAGAAUCUCAUCUAGUAAAUGUUCUCUUUGGUCAGGCUAGUCCAUCAGUAUGUGAUUCAUCAACAUUUAAUGAUAUUGUUUUCAAAAACGACACCCUAAAUGACACUCAGAAAGAAGCUGUGAAAUUUGCUCUUUCUCAGAAAGAAGUUGCUAUUCUACAUGGACCUCCUGGUACUGGAAAAACAACAACUGUUGUGGAGUGCAUUCUUCAAGCAGUCUCUCAAAAAUUGAAGGUUCUUGCAUGUGCUCCUUCAAAUAUUGCUGUUGAUAAUUUAGUGGAGAAAUUAGCUCCUUACAAAGUAAAAAUGGUUCGGUUGGGUCACCCAGCUCGUUUUCUUACAAGUAUUCAGCAGUAUUCUUUGGAUGCUGUGGUCUCGCAAUACGAUGGCAGUGAUGUGAUUGAUGAUAUGCAUAAAGAGGUUGACAAACUGAGAGGAAAAAUUGGAAAGAUAAAAGGAUCUGCUGGUAGAAAAGCCUUAUGGGCUGAAAACAAAUCAUUGUUGAAAGAAAUUAAAGAAAGAGAGAAAUCUAUUGUUAAGCAAGUAUUAAAAAAUGUAGAUAUAGUGCUUUCUACACUUACUUCAGCAUCUGAUGAUGGUCCUUUAAAACAUAUAGAUAAAGACCAUUUUGAUAUUUGCUUCAUUGAUGAAUGCUCUCAGGCUCUUGAAGCGUCUUGUUGGAUCCCCUUGAUGAUGGUAAAAAGAUGUGUCUUGGCUGGAGAUCAUCAUCAGCUGCCACCAACAAUAAUAUCAGAGAAAGCUGCAAAAGAGGGUUUGUCAUUGACUUUAAUGGAGAGACUUUUAAAACUUCAUGGAGAUAUUAUUAAAAAAAUGCUUACAUUGCAAUAUCGUAUGAACCAUAUUAUAAUGCAGUGGCCAUCUGAUGAGUUGUAUGAUAGUAAGUUACAGGCUCAUGAAUCUGUACACUCUCAUCUUUUAAGUCAUUUACCAGGCAUUGAAAGUAAUGAUGACACAACAGUACCAUUGCUGUUAAUUGACACUGCAGGUUGUGACCUUUACGAGCUUGAAGCUGAAAAUGAGGAAUCAAAGGGAAAUGAAGGAGAAGCUGAUUUGGUUGCUUUGCAUGUUGAAAACCUGAUAAAAAGUGGACUUUCUCCUACUGAUAUUGCAGUUAUUACACCCUACAACCUUCAAGUAGAUCUUAUCAAAGCUAGAUUUUCAGCAAAAUAUCCAAAACUAGAAAUUAAAUCUGUUGAUGGUUUUCAAGGGAGAGAAAAGGAAGCUGUUGUAUUGUCCUUAGUACGUUCAAAUGAUGAAGGUGAAGUUGGGUUCUUAUCUGAAGAUCGGCGUAUAAAUGUUGCUAUAACACGUGCCAAGAGACAUCUUGCUGUAAUCUGCAAUAGCGAUACAGUUUCUCAUCAUAAAUUUUUAAAAUCGUUUAUAAAUUACUGUAUAGAAAAUGGUGAAGUAAGAACAGCUUUCCAACAUAUUGAUGAAAUAGGCCAAUAUUCGAUUGCGACUAAACGACCUUCAGAAAAGUCUGAAAAGCUUAUUAGCUCUCAUAAAACUAAUAAAACACAUAUUAACUCUAAUGUAAGGAAGUCGACAGAUUCUAUAACAGUUUCAAUGCUAUCAAAGGAAAGUGGUCAACUCCAUAAAGAAAAUAUUGAUAGAACUGCUGUUGAAAACAAGUUCAGGGAUAUUAUUCAAGAUUUCAUUAAAAGUGAUAAGCAAACAUUUUCAUUUUCAUCAUCUCUUUCUGCAUUUGAAAGGCGCACAGUUCAUGAGGGAAUAGACAGAUACUUCAUCCACCACGGAGAGAGAUAAGACCCACAUUUAAAGCCAAACCUUAUGGAGGAGCCAACCCCGUAUCCUUGAUUGCAAGCUAGCAGCCCACAAGGCUAGUGCCUCAAGUUUUACUGGUUUCCAAAUCAUCCUAUAAUUCCUUAAAGUAUUCAUUUGUCAAAGCAAGAAAUCUAGGCUUUUGGAAGCCCUGAAAGAACACUGUGCCUGAAGUCCCAGACUAGCUGUCAGCCUCUACUAACUACCAUACCAUUCAAGACAGAACAGAAUAUUUCCUAUGGACGAGGAUUUGCAUUAAACAUCAAUGAAAAUAUUUGCAUAUGCUCUUCUUAAAUAAUUUUAUUCAUAAUAUUAGUAUUUAAAAAGUAAAAUGUUUGUAACUUAAUUGUGUCAAAAGUUGCAGGUAAUAUGUUUCAAACAUUUACUAAAGAUGUUUUAUACAAAUAAAAAAAGUCUUUAAAUAAUUACUGUAUGUUUUAAAUCAGUUUGUAAAUUUUUAUAUUGCAAUGGAAUCAAAUAUUUUCAUUUAGUCAUCAUUUUAAUAUAUUUUUUAAAAAUUUAGAUUUCAGAACAAUAUGGACUGAGUCAUGUAAGUCAUGGAGAAGGAAAUGAUCGUCAUAUUGAAAUUAAAAAACAGCUAGAUG
rnacentral:misc_RNA from 1 species